CUCCGGAAAAACGAAUCACAGUCUCAAAAAUUGUGUGAUAUUUUCGUUGGUGCUUCUAUUUUCGAAAAUCUUAAAUAUAAUCGAAGAUUCCGAGUGAUGGCCGAACCGAAUCUUAUCUAUGAGGAUACCUACUCCUCCAGCUCCAAUACUUCGGAAGACUCUGAGUAUUUCAUGGCUGAGGGGUGCUCUCAAAAAGAACAUGAUGAAUCUUCCACAUCCACUGAUUUGAGUUCUUAUAAUGAUCCUUCGGAGGGGUCCAUAAAAGACGAUGGGGCAGCAGACGCCAGGCCAGGAUGUGGAUCAUUCGAUUUUAAAAAUGGCCAAUUAGGCUUCUGGUGCGUUAUUUGCUAAUCUGUACGCUGCGAAAUAAAAACAUGCUGCGGCAUUCCACAUUCCUUUAAGACGACCAAAGGAAUUUUUAAAUAUAAAUUUUUUGUGGGUUUUCAAACAAAUAAAUAUAUUUACUAUUUGUGCAGCAAUUUUCAAA